rnacentral:rRNA from 1 species
GAUGAACGCUGGCGGCGUGCCUAAUACAUGCAAGUCGAGCGAACGGACGAGAAGCUUGCUUUUCUGAUGUUAGCGGCGGACGGGUGAGUAACACGUGGAUAACCUACCUAUAAGACUGGGAUAACUUCGGGAAACCGGAGCUAAUACCGGAUAAUAUUUUGAACCGCAUGGUUCAAAAGUGAAAGACGGUCUUGCUGUCACUUAUAGAUGGAUCCGCGCUGCAUUAGCUAGUUGGUAAGGUAACGGCUUACCAAGGCAACGAUGCAUAGCCGACCUGAGAGGGUGAUCGGCCAAACUGGAACUGAGACACGGUCCAGACUCCUACGGGAGGCAGCAGUAGGGAAUCUUCCGCAAAGGGCGAAAGCCUGACGGAGCAACGCCGCGUGAGUGAUGAAGGUCUUCGGAUCGUAAAACUCUGUUAUUAGGGAAGAACAUAUGUGUAAGUAACUGUGCACAUCUUGACGGUACCUAAUCAGAAAGCCACGGCUAACUACGUG